rnacentral:snRNA from 1 species
GUGUGCAUUUGGGCAGCCCAUAUGGUAAUAUUGGAAUGAUAUAGAGAAGAUUAGCAUGAUCUCUGCACAAAGAUGGCACACAAAUUUUGAAGUGUUCCAUAUUUUU